ensembl:ncRNA F58H7.9 ncRNA
UCUAGCUCAAUUUUGAAAUUUUCCGGGUUACUGUAGCACCGCAAGUACGCAAACACGACAUUUGACGAGAUUUUGAGCUAGAGCUCUGAAA